GACGAACGCUGGCGGCGUGCUUAACACAUGCAAGUCGAACGGAAAGGCCCUGCUUUUGUGGGGUGCUCGAGUGGCGAACGGGUGAGUAACACGUGAGUAACCUGCCCUUGACUUUGGGAUAACUUCAGGAAACUGGGGCUAAUACCGGAUAGGAGCUCCUGCUGCAUGGUGGGGGUUGGAAAGUUUCGGCGGUUGGGGAUGGACUCGCGGCUUAUCAGCUUGUUGGUGGGGUAGUGGCUUACCAAGGCUUUGACGGGUAGCCGGCCUGAGAGGGUGACCGGCCCCUUGGGGCCUGGAGACCGGCCCAACCCCCUAGGGGGGGAAGCGGGGGGGAAUUUUGCACAAGGGGCGGAGGCCUGAUGCGGAAACGCCGCGGGGGGGAUGCCGGCUUUGGGGUUGUAAACCGCUUUCGCCUGUGACGAAGCGUGAGUGGCGGUAAUGGGUAAAGAAGCACCGGCUAACUACGU
rnacentral:rRNA from 1 species